rnacentral:tRNA from 1 species
GGGCCGAGCGGUUAAGGCGCUACGUUAAGGCCGUAGUCCGAAAGGGCAUGGGUUCGAAUCCCAUUCUCA